GGAGGACCACUCUGUCCCAGCUGCUCCUGUUUUGCCACGUGGCAGACCAACUGCCUUCUGACUCUACCUCCAUCCCUUGCCAUCAAUCUGAUUUUGAUGUUCAUGGCAUUGGUUUUAUCCUAUGCAGUUAUUUCUACAGCAGGAUACAGUUCAAAUAAAGCAUCCUAACUGCUGUUGGAGACCAAGCACUGAAUGAGCAUGAUCCUAGCAAGAGAAACACCUGUACAAAACCUACUGAUUCAUGACUGUGCUGAGGAGCACUACAGAAGAAAGAAAAACGUCAGACUUUUCUUGCUAUUAAGCCUGAUUCCCUAGUUGUGUCUAUUAUAUUAAUCACAUAGGUUUUCAUUCUCUCCAAGCCAGGGUUUAGCUCUAAACUCAUUUGUACGAAGAUAAAUUAAGAACAAAUUGCCCAGUAACUGCUUGUGGCCACCUGGGGACUUUGCAAAGAAGGAGCACAGAUGUGUCCCGACACCAGGCAUGGCCCCUUUCUCAACAGACACCUCUGCUGUCACCACCAAAGCCCAGCACACACCUCAGCAGACCAGGCUCUGCAGCACUGGAUCGUGUCAACUACAAGACUGUUACAGACGCCAGCACACAGAGGAAGGGCCCCCUAACUCCAGCAAGGCAGGUCUGCUUGCAGACUCAACCGUCUUCUAGGGUCUGAAUUUUUUUAGUGCCAUUUGAAUUAUGGAGCUAACCAUUGAGAUGAAUCACUCAUUAAAGGUAUACAAUACAUGACCUUCUGAAGUUGCUAGGAACCAUCAGUUACUUCAGCUACAUCUCAUGACAGCUGGAAAGUGAAGAGAAGCUGUGGGGGAAAAAAAUGGGGCCCUUUUU